UCAGUGUCCUUUUUAGGUGUGUUUCUUGAAGGAAUAUUAUAUCAGCUUUGAGUGAUUUUAAGUGUGCUAAUACUUUACCUCUCUUGAUUGGUUCAUUAAUACACUUGACAUUCCAAUUACAAAAUGU